CUUUUCUAGGCAAGAUGCUGUGAAGUAAUGGAGUUCUUAUUCCCAUCCACGAUAUCCAAGUGUAUAAUCCGGCAUUGCUGUAAAAUGAGGCAGAGUAACAGUACCAUAAAUCCCCUCCAAGAACGAGACGAGGCUACGUUUUGAAGGGUCAAGUAGAACUGAUGUUUAUUGACAGGGGUCUCCUUUUAUGCAAUGGUGCCCUCUGAAAGGCUACACCCACAUAAUUAACACAACAGCCAAUCAGAUACAUGGUACAACCCCCACGUCUCCUCCCCUCAGAUAAACAUAUAACAUAAUU